GAUGAAGAACGUAGCAAAAUGCGAUAAGUAAUAUGAAUUGCAGAAUUCAGUGAAUCAUCGAAUCUUUGAACGCACAUUGCGCCCGCCAGUAUUCUGGCGGGCAUGCCUGUUCGAGCGUCAUUUCAACCCUCAAGCACAGCUUGGUGUUGGGACUCGCGUUAAUUCGCGUUCCCCAAAUUGAUUGGCGGUCACGUCGAGCUUCCAUAGCGUAGUAGUAAAACCCUCGUUACUGGUAAUCGUCGCGGCCACGCCGUUAAACCCCAACUUCUGAAUGUUGACCUCGGAUCAGGUGAGAAUACCCGCUGAACUUAAGCAUAUCAAUAAGCGGAGGA
rnacentral:misc_RNA from 1 species